rnacentral:tRNA from 1 species
GUUCUUGUAGUUAAAUUUUUAACGACGGUUUUUCAGGCCGUAGAUCUCGGAGAGAAGCCGAGCAGGAAUU